rnacentral:rRNA from 1 species
UACGGAGGAUGCAAGCGUUUAUCCGGAAUGAUUGGGCGUAAAGCGUCCGCAGGUGGCAAUGUAAGUCUGCUGUCAAAGCGUCUGGCUCAACCAGAUAAAGGCAGUGGAAACUACAUAGCUAGAGUAAGGUAGGGGUAGAGGGAAUUCCUGGUGUAGCGGUGAAAUGCGUAGAGAUCAGGAAGAACACCGGUGGCGAAAGCGCUCUGCUGGACCUUAACUGACACUGAGGGACGAAAGCUAGGGGAGCGAAUGGG